AUGAACGUGAGAAAAUGAAUAAUUUACGUUACACUGGAAAAAAUGAAGUUAUCGUAACCAUCUGAAGUAUUGCUCAUGCUAUUCAAAGUGUGUAUUUAGCUAUCUGAAUGGUUAAUAUAGCAAUCUGGAUUGUGAAUAUAUCAAUACGUGUUGUUUCGGCUGGGCUGCACCUAACGAAAUCUCGAAUUUAAAAUUUCUAAUUAUUUAUUAAAUAAUUAUGAUUAAGGUAAGUGACCCCUCCAUCGGUCAGUUAAGCGUAUGUUUUUUUUUCGAAUUAAGAAUUAAAAUAUAAAAAACCAAUUCAUGUAUAAAACAGUGAUAGAAUCUUGAAGCUUAUACAUUUAGCUUCAAAUUAAAAAAAAUAAAUGUAAAAAUAUUUAUUAAAAAUUAAAUAAUAAAUGAAAAUAACUUCAA